rnacentral:snRNA from 1 species
GUGCUCGUUUCAGCAGCACAUACACUAAAAUUGGAAUGAUGCAGAGAAGAUUAGCAUGGCCCCUGCUUGAGGGUGACAUGCAAAUUGGUGAAGCAUUCCUUAAUUUU